AUUGAAUGCUGGCGGCAGGCCUAACACAUGCAAGUCGAGCGGGGUUUUCGGACCUAGCGGCGGACGGGUGAGUAAUGCGUAGGAAGCUACCCGAUAGAGGGGGAUACCAGUUGGAAACGACUGUUAAUACCGCAUAAUGUCUACGGACCAAAGUGUGGGAACGUCGGGCCACAUGCUAUCGGAUGCGCCUACGUGGGAUUAGCUAGUUGGUGGGGUAAUGGCUCACCAAGGCGACGAUCCCUAGCUGGUUUGAGAGGAUGAUCAGCCACACUGGAACUGAGACACGGUCCAGACUCCCACGGGAGGCAGCAGUGGGGAAUAUUGGACAAUGGGCGCAAGCCUGAUCCAGCCAUGCCGCGUGUGUGAGGAAGGCCUUCGGGUUGUAAAGCACUUUCAGUAGGGAGGAAGGGUGUUGUGUUAAUAGCACAGCAUUUUGACGUUACCUACAGAAGAAGCACCGGCUAACUCUGUGCCAGCAGCCGCCGUAAGAC
rnacentral:rRNA from 1 species